CUUUUCUCGUUUAAUCUAAGGGGGCACUUUUCAAGCGCAAAUUAUUAACCUGGCAUGGCACUGUGUUGCGAUCACAGGAGAGCAGAAAGCAAUUGACGCUGUUUGAAGCUUCUGAAUAAUGUAGGUUGCAAUGCCUUAUAAAACGGAUGCUCCUCUAUGUAAUUUACAGUAUUCUGAACAUUGAUUAGAACUGACCUCACAUAGUCAUCACAAGACAUGAAGGGAUUUGUAUCUUUCGCUGUUUGUUUCCUGUUUAUUGCUGGAUUUCUAGGUGAAAGUGUCGCGUUCUCGUCGACAAUAGAUAAUCGCAACACCCCCAAACCAGAUACAGCCGCCACGCGUACGACUUGGAUGAGACGGACUGUGGACGCGGCGAGAGAGGCUUUUUAUCACGCAAAAAGGAUGGCUGCUAUCUACAGACAAGCGUCCCGCGAGCAAGGCCUCGAAGAAGAAUAGUCUAAAGAAAGAACUCAGCUCUUCUCGAAAGGCCAUUGAAAUAACAAUAAAUAAUAGAAAUAACAGUCUUAUAUAGCAUGUCUUUUAACUUUAGAUAAAAUGUACGACUAAAGUUAAAAUAAAACUAAACUUAAACUAAAAUGUACGGUUUAUGACACGAAUCGCAAAAUAUACAGAAUAAUAAAAUACUUGUAAGCCUG